rnacentral:rRNA from 1 species
UUAAAUAGCUGCAGUAUUUUGACUGUACAAAGGUAGCAUAAUCAAUAGUUUUUUAAUUGAAAUCUGGUAUGAAGGGCUUGACAAGAAAAUAGCUAUUUAUUAUUAAUUAAAUUGAAUUUUAUUUUUUAGUAAAAAAACUAAAAUAUUAUUAAAAGACGAGAAGACCCUAUAGAGUUUUAUAAUUAUAAUAAAUGAAUUAUUUAGAAUAAAAUUUUUUAUUUAAAAUAUAUUAUUUUACUGGGGUGGUAUAAAAAUUUUAUUAACUUUUUAAAAUUAUUACAUUUAUUUAUGAAUAAUUGAUCCUUAUAAGAUUAUUAGAAAAAAUUACCUUAGGGAUAACAGCGUUAUUUCUUUUUAAAGUUCUUAUUAAAAAAGAAGUUUGCGACCUCGAUGUUGGAUUAAAAUUAAUAAUUGGUGUAGAAGCUAAUUUAUUAGGUCUGUUCGACCUUUAAAUUUUACAUGAUCUGAGUUUAGACCGGUGUGAGCCAGGUCGGUUUCUAUCUUUAAUUAAAAAUUAUAUUAUAGUACGAAAGGACCUAAUAUUUUUAAAAUUUAAUGUUUUAUGAUUAAAAUU